GGUGUCUUCACACCCUCAGCCUUCAGCCAGAAUCCACUGCUUUGCCGUCAUAUAUUGGGUUCCAAGGAGACCCGGGUUCGAUCCCUGGGUUGGGAAGAUCCCCAGGAGGAGGAAAUGGCAACCCACUUCAGCAUUCUUGCUUGGAGAAUUCCGUGGACAGAGGAGACUGGUUCUGGGCGGCCACUUCCCUGGGCUGUGUGCGCACUGGGCUUGGAUUUCAAUCAGAUGGGGCCCGGCAGAGCUGUCCCCAGGGAACUCACAGCAGCGAUGCCCCCCUCGGAAUGAUAAAUGAGCCCGCAGACAGCAGAAAUGCUGCCCAGCUGCUCUGGGGGGUCGGCGUGCAU
ensembl:lncRNA